GGCAGCAGUGGGGAAUAUUGCACAAUGGGGGAGACCCUGAUGCAGCCAUGCCGCGUGUGUGAAGAAGGCCUUCGGGUUGUAAAGCACUUUCAGCGAGGAGGAAAGGUUGGCGCCUAAUACGUGUCAACUGUGACGUUACUCGCAGUAAGAAGCACCGGCUAACUCCGUGCCAGCAGCCGCGGUAAUACGGAGGGUGCAAGCGUUAAUCGGAAUUACUGGGCGUAAAGCGCACGCAGGCGGUUGGAUAAGUUAGAUGUGAAAGCCCCGGGCUCAACCUGGGAAUUGCAUUUAAAACUGUCCAGCUAGAGUCUUGUAGAGGGGGGGUAGAAUUCCAGGUGUAGCGGUGAAAUGCGUAGAGAUCUGGAGGAAUACCGGUGGCGAAAGGCGGGCCCCCUGGACAAAGACUGACGCUCA
rnacentral:rRNA from 1 species